GUGGGGAAUAUUGGACAAUGGGGGGAACCCUGAUCCAGCCACGCCGCGUGUGUGAAGAAGGCCUUUUGGUUGUAAAGCACUUUAAGCGAGGAGGAGGCUACCGAGAUUAAUACUCUUGGAUAGUGGACGUUACUCGCAGAAUAAGCACCGGCUAACUCUGUGCCAGCAGCCGCGGUAAUACAGAGGGUGCAAGCGUUAAUCGGAUUUACUGGGCGUAAAGCGCGCGUAGGUGGCCAAUUAAGUCAAAUGUGAAAUCCCCGAGCUUAACUUGGGAAUUGCAUUCGAUACUGGUUGGCUAGAGUAUGGGAGAGGAUGGUAGAAUUCCAGGUGUAGCGGUGAAAUGCGUAGAGAUCUGGAGGAAUACCGAUGGCGAAGGCAGCCAUCUGGCCUAAUACUGACACUGAGGUGCGAAAGCAUGGGGAGCAAACAGGAUUAGAAACCCUGGUAGUCC
rnacentral:rRNA from 1 species